ACCCAGUUGAACAGUUUCAAAUAGGACGAAACAUACGUCCUAGAU
rnacentral:hammerhead_ribozyme from 1 species